CCAAAGAUAUGAAGUGGAACUCAUUUGCAGGCAAGGAAGUUGAGGAACCAAGACCCCAACGGUGCGGAGCAGUUUGCCGAGAGGACUAGGGCUGCCAUAAGGGACCUGUAGACCAAGCUCAACAUCUCCCUCGUGCCUCCUUCAACACCGUGUCCUGGAGGGUCGUCGCCGUCCGCGACGACGAGCUACUGCCGCAGCUUUGCCAGCCGCACGGUUAGAGGGAGGCAUCAAGGGCCUGCCACCGCUCCCGGGGCCGAUGUGAUAUUCCAAUAUACAAUAAGUUCCAUCAAGAAUUGCAUGUACAUGUGCUGCUAUCCUGAUCCAAAAAGGAAAGUAAAAAGGGCGUUCAUCUA